AUUGGAAUGAUGGGAAUUUAAACCUCUUCCAGAGUAUCAAUUGGAGGGCAAGUCUGGUGCCAGCAGCCGCGGUAAUUCCAGCUCCAAUAGCGUAUAUUAAAAUUGUUGCAGUUAAAAAGCUCGUAGUUGAAUUUCUGCUGCAUUGCAUUUGCUCCUUGACGAGUGUCUGUAUUGCGGCUUAUUUCGGAUUAUGCUUGCAUUUUCCGGAUGUUUACUUUGAGAAAAUUAGAGUGCUCAAAGCAGGCUUUUGCCUUGAAUAGUUUAGCAUGGAAUAAUAAAGUAGGACUUUGGUUCUAUUUUGUUGGUUUUAGGUACCAAAGUAAUGGUUAAUAGGAACAGUUGGGGGCAUUCGUAUUUA
rnacentral:rRNA from 1 species